GAAACGACUGCUAAGACUGGAUAGGAGAUAAGAAGGCAUCUUCUUAUUUUUAAAAGACCUAGCAAUAGGUAUGCUUAAGGAGGGGCUUGCGUCACAUUAGUUAGUUGGUAGGGUAAAAGCCUACCAAGACAAUGAUGUGUAGCCGGGCUGAGAGGUUGAACGGCCACAUUGGAACUGAGACACGGUCCAAACUCCUACGGGAGGCAGCAGUAGGGAAUUUUCGGCAAUGGAGGAAACUCUGACCGAGCAACGCCGCGUGAACGAUGAAGUAUUUCGGUACGUAAAGUUCUUUUAUUAAGGAAGAAAAGAUGGUGGAAAAACCAUUAUGACGGUACUUAAUGAAUAAGCCCCGGCUAACUAUGUGCCAGCAGCCGCGGUAAUACAUAGGGGGCGAGCGUUAUCCGGAAUUAUUGGGCGUAAAGGGUGCGUAGGCGGUUUAAUAAGUUUAUGGUCUAAGUGCAAUGCUUAACAUUGUGAUGCUAUAAAAACUGUUUGACUAGAGUUGGAUAGAGGCAAGUGGAAUUCCAUGUGUAGUGGUAAAAUGCGUAAAUAUAUGGAGGAACACCAUGAGCGAAGGCGGCUUGCUGGGUCUUAACUGACGCUGAGGCACGAAAGCGUGGGGAGCAAACAGGAUUAGAUACCCUGGUAGUCCACGCCGUAAACGAUGAGUACUAGACGUUGGGUUAAACCAGUGUCGAAGUUAACACAUUAAGUACUCCGCCUGAGUAGUACGUACGCAAGUAUGAAACUUAAAGGAAUUGACGGGACUCCGCACAAGCGGUGGAUCAUGUUGUUUAAUUCGAAGGUACCCGAAAAACCUCACCAGGUCUUGACAUGUUACUGCAAAGCUGUAGAAAUACAGCGGAGGUUAUCAGUUGCACAGGUGGUGCAUGGUUGUCGUCAGCUCGUGUCGUGAGAUGUUGGGUUAAGUCCCGCAACGAGCGCAACCCUUGUUGUUAAUUGCCAUCAUUAAGUUGGGGACUUUAGCAAGACUGCCAGUGAUAAAUUGGAGGAAGGUGGGGACGACGUCAAAUCAUCAUGCCCCUUAUGACCUGGGCUACAAACGUGAUACAAUGGCUGUUACAAAGGGUAGCUGAAGCGCAAGCUUUUGGCAAAUCUCAAAAAAACAGUCUCAGUUCGGAUUGAAGUCUGCAACUCGACUUCAUGAAGUUGGAAUCGCUAGUAAUCGCGAAUCAGCAUGUCGCGGUGAAUACGUUCUCGGGGUUUGUACACACCGCGCGUCA
rnacentral:rRNA from 1 species